GAUGAACGCUAGCGGCAGGCUUAACACAUGCAAGUCGCGGGGCAGCGCGGGUAGCAGUACCUGGCGGCGACCGGCGGAAGGGGGCGUAACGCGUGAGCAACAUGCCCGUAUCAGGGGGAUAACCGAUGGAAACGUCGCCUAAUACCCCAUAACAACGAGGAUCGCAUGGUCCAUGUUUGGAAGUUACGGCGGAUACGGAUUGGCUCGCGUGACAUUAGCUGGUUGGCGGGGUAACGGCCCACCAAGGCGACGAUGUCUAGGGGUUCUGAGAGGAAGGUCCCCCACACUGGAACUGAGACACGGUCCAGACUCCUACGGGAGGCAGCAGUGAGGAAUAUUGGUCAAUGGGCGCAAGCCUGAACCAGCCAUGCCGCGUGCAGGAAUGAGGCCCUAUGGGUCGUAAACUGCUUUUGCUGCGGAGCAAUAAGGUCUACGUGUAGGCCGAUGAGAGUACGCAGCGAAUAAGCAUCGGCUAACUCCGUGCCAGCAGCCGCGGUAAUACGGAGGAUGCGAGCGUUAUCCGGAUUUAUUGGGUUUAAAGGGUGCGCAGGCGGCGCGUUAAGUCAGCGGUGAAAUGUACCGGCUCAACCGGUGAGCUGCCGUUGAUACUGAUGUGCUGGAGUGCGGACGGCGCUGGCGGAAUGUGUUGUGUAGCGGUGAAAUGCUUAGAUAUGACACAGAACACCGAUCGCGAAGGCAGCUGGCGAGGCCGUAACUGACGCUGAGGCACGAAAGCGUGGGGAUCA
rnacentral:rRNA from 1 species